ACAAGGCUGAUCUUGGCUAAUGCACUAUAUUUUAAAGGAGAAUGGAAUGAGAAGUUCGAUACUUCAGAAACAACAGACCAUGAAUUCUAUCUCCUCAAUGAAGGGUCUAUUCGAGCCCCGUUCAUGACAAGCAAAGAGAAGCAGUACGUAGCAGCGUUUAAUGGCUUUAAAGUGUUGAGGCUUCCUUAUAAACAGGGUACAGAUACACGUCGCUUCUCAAUGUAUUUCAUUCUCCCAAAUGCACAUGAUGGAUUACCUGCUUUAGUGGACAAAAUCAGUUCAGAACCUGGAUUCUUAAAUCACCACGUUCCGUUUAGAAAAGUUCGUCUGAGCCAGUUUCUUAUCCCUAAAUUCAAAAUAACUUUUGGAUUUGAAGCUUCCAACAUUCUAAAGGGACUUGGCCUAACGCUGCCUUUCUGCGGAGGUGAUCUCACUGAGAUGGUUGACUCCCCUAUUCCUGAGAACCUGUCGGUUUCACAAGUCUUCCACAAGUCCUUCAUUGAGGUAAAUGAGGAAGGAACCGAAGCUGCAGCUGUUACCGGGUCUAUAUUGAUGGCCGCGUCCUUGACUAUUGAGAAGCCAGUAGAUUUUGUUGCGGACCAUCCAUUCAUGUUCCUUAUAAGAGAUGAAUCUACUGGUGUGGUGUUGUUCCUUGGAAGCGUGAUGAAUCCUAUAGCUGGUUAGCUGACUGACACAACCAAAAAUGACUCUGGAAAGAAGGAAAGCAACGUAUGAAUCUCUGAAUUCACAUUAUCAUUCACAUUCGCAAAGAAUGAUAGAUCUAUCAUCUAUAAGGACAAAUUUCAGUGGCGCGAUGUAUCCAAAUAAUCAGUCUUCUGAUCUUUUUGUUACUUAAAAGUAUCUCUGACAUCUAAUGUUAUUUCAUUUGUGCUUGCUUUAUUUGUGUAUUUUGAUAUGAUAAAGAGCUCGAAAGUAAUUAGAAGUUUGUAAUUUCAUCUAUUGUACAUGUUAGGGACUCACAUGUUAGGUAGCUUAGUUUUCUUUUCUAUCAAUAAUGUUGAAGGGCUGUUAAAUUAGAUAAUUCAAAUCUUUUGGACAAGGAAGAAAUGGAGAAAUUAAUGCAACAAGUGUCCUCACUAAGUAUGUUGUUUUUCUUAAUACUAGCAAAUUAAGAAAGUACAUUACUUUGACAUUUGUGUUCUCAAUCUUUCGUAGACAUGAGCAGCCAAAAGAAACUUAUACUAUUUAAUUUCUUGUUUUGAUGAUCUGCAUUCUAUCUUUUUUCUCCAAUGAUUUAACAAGGGAAGCUAUAUACAUCUGCAACUGAACAUACUUACAUUUGUCAACUUUUCCAAACUUGGAGGUCAAGCAAAAAAGUUUCAUUUUUUUACGCCACUAAUAGUUAUUAGCGUAGAAAACCACUUUCUUUAUUAAAAGUUAAAACAGUUGAAAUCACGAUAUAUAUAUAUAUAUAUAUAUAUGUAUAACUUCUAAAAAAAAAUAAUUCAGUUGAAUGACUCAAACUUAUUAGAUAUAUGCAAAAUGUCACCAUUAUGUGCUUCGAAACUAACAGGUUCACAACUACGAAGUCAACCCUGCUAUACUUUUCUUCUCGGCGUCAUUUUGAUGUUGUUUCCGUUUAACAACUUUUAUUCGUCUCCAUCAAGUAUACAAUUAAUUAAUAUUGAGAAUAUAAUAAGUCUAUUGUGACAAUUAAGUGUCUUACUUUCUUUUUUGGUUGGUCGUAAGUUUUCCAAGAUUUGAAGCCUCCAUUUAUUUUUAAAUUUCGUAUUCAAUCAAACUAAGACACUUAAAUUGAACAGUGAAAGUAAUUCUUCUUGCUAUGGAAAAUCAAUGCUAAGUGUUCCUUUCAUUGAUUCCUUUCUGUGUAUGAAUGUGAUCAUUAGAGAAUUAAGCCUUACAAACAUGUACUUUCUUUAUUCAAAUGCCAUUUGUUGAUAUGUGUUUACUGGAUCAAUUCAAACUCAAAACUCCCCCUGUUAAGUAACAGUAUAGUAUAUAAAUUCUUGCAAAGCUUUCAACUAUGUGAUCAUUCUACUCAACAAGCGUCCUUCUUCUUCUCGUUCGCGUGCAAAUAUGGAUCUCCGGGAAUCAAUCAACAACCAGACAGACGUUUCUUUCAUGUUCGCUAAGCAUGUUUUCUCCAAUGAGAUUCAAGGCGAUACCAACCUAGUGCUCUCUCCUCUGUCAAUUCAAAUAGUUCUUGGCCUCAUUGCUGCCUGCUCUAACGGACCAACUCAGGAUCAGCUUCUCCGUUUCCUCAAGUCCAAUUCCAUUGAUGAACUCAACUCUCUUUAUUCACAUAUUGCCAAUGUCGUCUUUGCUGAUGGCAGCCCCAAUGGAGGUCCGCGUCUGUCUGUUGCUAAUGGUAUUUGGAUCGAACAAACGCUGCCUUUCAAGCCUUCUUUCAAGCAAGUUGUGGAUAAUGUUUACAAGGCUGAAUCAGAGUCUGUUGAUUUCAUGAACAAGGUAUGCCGUCGUCAUUGAUUUAUUCAAAUGUUGUUUCUUUUUCAUGCUGACAAAUGAUAAUUGGUUUUCGGGAAAAAGAAAACCGUAAGUAUUAAGCAGAGCCUUGGCACAACUGUAAAGUUGCUUCCAUGUGAAGAAGUGGUCACGACUCAAGCGAGAGCUUAAUGCAGCAAGCUUCCCUUUUUGUAAGCUUCCAUCUAUAAAAGAGUACAAAGUAUCACACAAUUAGGACAGAGAUCACAGUUCUUAGCCCUUUGAUGAUUAUAGCCUCAAGUUGUAUAAAUUAAAUGAUGUCCAUGCAUUAGCAUUUGUUCAAUUGAAAGAAUGAAAACGGUUUUUUUGAUAAAUGAGCAAGAAUAAGAGGAACAAAUAGGUAUGUAUGACCUAUUAUCUUACAUUCUAGCAUUCCAUGUUUGUCUUUGCCAAUUUGAUCAAGGCUGCUGAGGUCGUUGAUCAAGUCAAUCAAUGGACUAAAAUGAAGACAAAUGAUCUCAUAAAAAAGAUUCUUCAUCCUGCCGAUGUGGACAGCAUGACAAGGCUUAUCUUGGCCAAUGCACUAUAUUUUAAAGGAGAAUGGAGUGAGAAGUUUGAUGCUUCAGAAACGAAAAACCAUGAAUUCCAUCUCCUCAAUGGAUGGUCUAUUCAAGCACCCUUCAUGACUAGCGAAAAUGAGCAGUACAUAUCAGCGUUUUAUGGCUUUAAAGUGUUGAGGCUUCCUUACAAACAGGGUACAGAUACGCGUUGCUUCUCAAUGUAUUUCAUUCUCCCAGAUGCACAUGAUGGAUUACCAGCUUUAUUGGACAAAAUCUGUUCAGAACCUGGAUGCUUAAAUGACCACGUUCCGUUUAGAAAAGUUUGUGUGGGCAAGUUUCUUAUCCCUAAAUUCAAAAUAACUUCUGGUUUGAAAGCGUCCAACAUUCUGAAGGGACUUGGCCUAACGCUGCCUUUCUGCGGUGGUGGUCUCACUGAGAUGGUUGAUUCCCCUUUUCCUGAAAAUGAAAAUCUGUCCGUUUCAGAAGUUUUUCACAAGUCCUUCAUUGAGGUAAAUGAGGAAGGAACCGAAGCUGCAGCUGUUACCGUUACUGUACUGAUGCCCCUGUGCUUGUUUGUUGAGAAGAAAACUGACUUUGUUGCGGACCAUCCGUUCUUGUUCCUUGUAAGAGAUGAAUCUACUGGUGUGGUAUUGUUCAUUGGGAUCGUGAUGAAUCCUCUUGCUGGUUAGCUUUACUGAAACAACAUUAAAUGAACUUGGAAAGAACGAAAGCGACGUGAAUCUCUGAAUUCAUGUUAUCACAGAAAACUUUUUAUGAAACUUAGUUUUCCUCGUUAUCAAUAAUGUUGAAGGGCUGUUGAAUUAGAUAAUUCAAAUCAACUUUGGGACAAGGAAGAAAAGGAGAAAAUAUAAUAAGUGUCCUUAGUCCUUACUAUGUAUGUUGUUUUCUUAAUACCAUCAAAUUAAAAAAUUAUAUUGUUUUGAUUUUUGACAUUUGUGUUCUCAAUAUUUCAUAGACACCAGCAGCCAAAAGAAAACUAUAUUUGCUUUUUUAUGAUUUUGAUGAUCUGUAUUUUAUCUCUCUCUCUAAUGAAUUAAUAAGGGAAGAUCAAAAUAUAUAUACAUCUGCAACUGUAAAAGUAUUUUUCACAGGGAGCCUGCUUAACAAAUAUGUUAUCUUGCUUUGCUCACAGGUAAGUUCGUGCCAAGUGUUCACUUUAAGUCUUCAUCAGUGGAAAGAACUUUUAUUUUCAAUUAACAUAGUCAAUGAGUUAAUUUCUCACAGGUCACUCAACUAACGGUUUCAUCUUAGAAGGUCACUCAACUUUGUUUUGUAAGAUAAAAGUCACUCAACUAAUGAUAAUUAUCUGUGAAAGUCGCUCAACUUAGUUUAAUAAUAAAAAGUCAUUCAACUAUUGUCAUUUCACCUGCAAAGACACUCAAAUAUUGUCACCUUCACCAUCACCAACAGGAGCAAAAAUAGAUUUAUUUUCUAUGAUAUGAUAUAGCCACAUCCCCGGGAACAAAGAAUACAAUAAAGAAUACUUAGUUUGCUGAACAGUUGCUCUGCUUUUCUUAACUGUUUAGUGUGCUUGCAACGCGCUUCCCUCUAAUAGCUUCCCUUUGUUUCGAUUAAUUAUACUAUUAGUAUUGAAUUCCCAGUAGAAUUUAAUAUAAGUUUUCUUGUGGUUAGUCAGUGCCAGGUGUUCCCUUCAUUGUUUCCUUCCUGUGUAUGAAUAUUAUCUUCAUAGAAUUAGGUCUUACAAACAUAUCUUUGUUUAUGGCCAUUUGUCAAAACCCCACCCUGUUAAGUAACAAUAUAGUAUAUAAAUUCUUGCAAAGCUUUCAACUUUGUAAUCAUUCUACUCACUAAGCCCUCUCCUUCUCGUUCGCGUUCGCGUGCAAAUAUGGAUCUCCAGGAGUCAAUCACCAACCAGACUGAUGUUUCUUUCAUGAUAGCUAAACAUGUUUUCUCCAAAGAGGUUAAAGGCGAUUCCAACUUGGCCUUGUCUCCUCUAUGAAUUCAAAUAGUUCUUGGCCUCAUUGCUGCCGGUUCCACGGGACCAACUCAGGAUCAGCUGCUUUGUUUCCUCAAAUCCAAAUCAAUUGAUGAACUCAGCUCUCUUUAUUCUCAUCUCGUCAACAACAUAUUUCUCGAUAGCAGUCCCAAUGGAGGUCCUCGUCUGUCUCUCGCCAAUGGUGUUUGGACCGACCAAACACUGCCUCUUAAGCCUUGUUUUAAGCAGGUUGUGGAUAACGUUUACAAAGCUGCUUCAGAGUCUGUUGAUUUUCAGAACAAGGUAGCUCUUUAAUACUAAUUUUGUAUCUUUUAAGUAAAGCAUAUACUAUGUGCUGAUUCUAUCAUUCUGUUGUCUGUCUUACCAAUUGAUUAAGCCUGCUGAGGUUGUCAAUCAAAUCAAUCAGUGGGCUAAAACGAAGACAAAUGAUCUCAUCAAAGUGAUUCUUCCUCCUGACGCAGUAAACAAUAUGACAAGGCUCAUCUUUGUGAACGCGCUAUAUUUUAAAGGAGUUCAUAAAUUCCAUUUACUCAAUGGAGGGUCUGUUCGAGCACCGUUCAUGACUAGCAAGAAUAAGCAAUACAUAGCGGAAUUUGAUGGCUUUAAAGUGUUGAGGCUUCCUUAUAAACAGCGCAUAGAUACGCGUUGCUUCUAUAUGUAUAUAAUUCUCCCUGAUGCCCAUGAUGGAUUACCAGCUUUAGUGGAUAAAAUCAGUUCAGAACCUGGAUUCUUAAAUCACC
rnacentral:lncRNA from 1 species